UACAGAGGGUGCAAGCGUUGUUCGGAAUUAUUGGGCGUAAAGCGCGUGUAGGCGGCUUUGCAAGUCGGGUGUGAAAGCCCUCGGCUCAACCGAGGAAGUGCGCCCGAAACUGCAGAGCUUGAGUACCGGAGAGGAUGGCGGAAUUCCCCAAGUAGAGGCGAAAUUCGUAGAUAUCUGGAGGAACACCGGUGGCGAAGGCGGCAUCCUGGACCAACACUGACGCUGAGUGAGCGAAAGCCAGGGGAGCAAACGGG
rnacentral:rRNA from 1 species